ACAAAGUACUGAGCUUGCAGCUUUGAGCAACUGACAGUUUGUCUGAUGUGAAGAAUGUAGACCAUAUGAGCCUGGGGCCUUGGGAACCAGCUCCUGGUUGCCACCCAGAAGACUGUCCUGAUAAGAAGGCCUGUGACAGGUUCAGGUUCCAACCUUCACAGCCAACCUUACCACCUGCAGUUUUCUCUCAGACCUUUACUUUCUGAUCAAUUGUAGAGCUGUCCCUUGCUAUGAUAAAGUAGAGCAUCUUCUUGGGCUUGUUUUGAUCUCCCUUGCUGUGCUGAUGGCUUCUGGCACAACACCUUCUACAGAGGUGCAAAUUAGCAAAUGAAUGACUGGAUAAUUAUCAAACAAAACAGUGACAUUCCUAGAAUCUGUCACUGAAUCAAGGACCACAGGAACAGAAAUCCUCUUAUGGUUUUACUUUGUUAAAUGUCCUUUAGAACACUGUCCUAACCAAUUACAUUAGAAACAACCUCCAAACUCAAUGUCUUCAAAUACCAAGCCAUUGCCUCUCUUGGUUCUGUGGACGCACUAAGCUCAGCUCUCUCUCUCUCUCUCUCUCUCUCUCUCUCUCUCUCUCUCUCUGUGUGUGUGUGUGUGUGUGUGUGUGUGUGUGUGUUUUACCUGAGAUCUGUCAUGCAGUUUUAGAACAGAGAAGCCAGGGUUGGAGUCAUUGGAAGGCUCGACUGGGCGGAUAUCCAAGAUACAUUGAGGACAGCUGAUGUCAGCGGCUGGAUUACCCACACUUGUCAACUGGACAGGACCAGUUUAUAACACUUGGCCUGUCCACGUGGCUUGGGUUUUUCACAGAAUUGCUUCUGGGUGCCCAAAUCUGUCAUCUGUCAGUGAGCAUUCUGAGAGAGCUGAUAACGAACAGCAGGUUUCCUAUUAUCUAGCCUUGGGGGCCAUAGCAUAUGGCUACAAGCAAACAUAUGAUCUUGGGGACUUGGUAGAGUGCCUGCCUAGCAAGUAGGAUGGCCCGGAAUUGAAAAACAAACAACAAGCAAACAAACAACAACAAAACUUCAAACGCGUUAUCCCUGAAGGACAACCUAUCUCUGCAAGAGCCUUCCUUUAUCACGUGAUCCAUCCACUAUACUGCUGAGCACUGGCGACAAUCACUAUCAACCGGAUCUAGCAGAGUUGUCCUUGGAGAAUCUCAGCAUGAACAGUGAGCAGAGAGAGAAGCUGGCGAGGUUGACAUGAAAGGCGAGCGGUGCUCCAGGGCCUAUUAUCGAUGGCCAGAACUCAUCCUACUUUGAAAGGGUCUUGAGCAGAUUAAGAUGAAACAGACGGGCAUUACAUGGAAGCUUCUUUCAGCCCCCACCAGCUUUCAUUGCUGACCAUCCUGUUCCUGACUGUGCUGUGUAGGAGAAUCCAGACAUUGUGUACAGCUGCAUCUCAGCGUGGCCCGUUUUGGCUGGAAUUCAAGGAGUAAUUACAGCCAAAUGAGUAUUAUUACAACCCACGUCAAUCAGCGCAGCCUUCUCCUCGAAUGCUCUCAUAAAGAAACAGGGACGCUCUCUGAAAGAUGCUGUCUGGUUUAAGCCCAGUGUCUUUCUGGGGACCAGGAUGUGUGUGCUUUUCCAGAGGGAAACCAGCGCUGAUCGUCUGUCACCAAGUCUGAAGAGUAUAACCUGUAUGAUCUGAGACUGUAGGUCCCCAGAGUUAGGCAGACCCCAAUUCAGAUCCCACAUGCUACUUCCUCUCUCUGUGAACCUACACACGGGCUUAACCUCUCCACAUCUCCAUGUUCUGAUGAGUGAUGCGAGACUUCAGGGAUUCAGCAAGAUAGAGUGUUUAAAGUGCCAAAAGAGAUCUAUGGUGAUUUGUUAAUGGAACUUCCUUUCCUCCUCAUUCAGCAAUUAAUCACCAGCUCUUUGUCCUCGGCUGGAGGUGUGGCUUUGCAUCAGCAGGUGGAUGCUAAGCUACACAUUUGUCUACAUUUUAGGCCUCCUUUGGAACCCAAAAGCAAUGUGUGCAGGGAGGUUAUCCUGGAGAGACUGGAGUGUGAGGACGAGUCACACUGAUUCUGUAGGGGGCUGGGAUGUCGUGGGAAAAAGGGCAGGAGCAAUGGGAAUUGGAAGACACCUCCACACACACAACCAUGAAGUUCCACCAACUUUAGAACACUACUUUGGGAGGAAUCAUGGGUGGUGAGGGAAAGACCUUGUCCCUGUAGAAAUUUAGUGGAGAAGAGCUCUUUGCCUAGGUUCCUGGUGGCUUGGUUAGAAAGAACAUUGGUAUGGUUUGAAUCUGCAAUGCCCACCAUAGGCUCUUGAUUUGAACAUUUGGUUCCCAGCUGGUGGAGCAAAUUUGGAAGGGUAUGGGUCUAGCUGGUAGACAGGUUUUCAUGGGAAGGUCCCUAGUUCCUGACUUUUUCUGCUUCCUGAUCUGCGUGAUGCGAAUAGCUUCCCAUACAUGCUCCUAUGAUGGGGUCCUAUUGCUGUGGCCUGAACCACCAUGCUAAGCCUUCUCUGUCAUAGUGAAAUGUCUUGAGACCAUGAGCCCAAAGAAUUCUUUCACCCUUUACAUACACUGUUUCUGCCAGCUAUUUUGACCAUGCUACCUCAAAAGCAACAAAUAAAAAUGCUUAUAAAAACGUAUAUGCAAGCAGCCAGGCAACCUUGUGUGUAUGCAUGGGGCUUAGGCACGGAGCUUAAAUCACUCUUGUAAAUCUGCUCCAUUCAAUUUAGUAAAACGUUCUCCUGUCUACUUUGGGUGAGAGAUGGCAUGGGGAGUUGGGGAC
rnacentral:lncRNA from 1 species